UACGGGGGGAGCAAGCGUUGUUCGGAUUUACUGGCGUAAAGGGCGCGUAGGCGGUCAGCACAAGUCAGUUGUGAAAUCUCCGGGCUUAACCCGGAAAGGUCAACUGAUACUGUGCGACUAGAGUGCGGGAAGGGCAACUGGAAUUCUCGGUGUAGCGGUGAAAUGCGUAGAUAUCGAGAGGAACACCUGCGGCGAAGGCGGGUUGCUGGGCCGACACUGACGCUGAUGCGCGAAAGCCAGGGGAGCGAACGGG
rnacentral:rRNA from 1 species